AAGAAGAGAGGGAGAGCGUGCCUCCACUUGGUACCCAGGAAUAGACCCCACUGCUCUUCUAGGGGUGGGGGUGGGGAACCCCAGGCUCAGAUCCACCAUACAGAGCAAGCAAAAUCAGCCCAAGAGGGGGAGAUGAAAAUGGGCAUUUGGCACUUUGUUCAUGUUACAUAGUUCGUCUUUACAGCUCCCAAGAAAGCAACCACACACCAAAUCCCUCCUGAUGCUGUUUAAUUCUGAGCCCUCUGUGAUAUAAUCUCUUAAUGGAAUAUUUGAGAAGUCCAGAUACAUAUCGGCAGCCUUUUCAUCUCACCUGAGGUUCAUACGCCACGGGAUGCGUUGUGCGUGUUUCUUUCCACACAAAUGGUUGCAGGUGAUUUUCAGGGGGUGGGAGGUUCUGUUUCUAAGUUGAAUAUGUUUUUUUUUUUUCAUACCUUAGUCUGUUUUUGACUGUAGAUGGGAAAGCAAAAGUAUCAAUUCUAGAGAUCAGGGCCUGAAAAAUAGAUGUACUUUGAGAUGAUUCGAAGUUAAAACCAUAGCCUCCUGAAAACCUUUCUUGUCAUUUGUAGCUGGUUAAGAAAAAAUACCUAUUGUUAUUACACACUCAUAAAUAACCCAAUUCUGGCAUAUGCUUUCAUACCAAACAAAAAUGAAUAAAUUAAACUUGAUUUACAGCCCUUUUCAUUUUUAUUAGUACCGCUCCGAAGAGUUUAUGUAAGGGACGUGCCAGCACAGUUAUGCCAAAUGUUUUAAGGCGUUGGUAUUGAUAUUAUAUAAAUUAAGGUGUUUUAAUUUGCAUUCUUUAAUUAACUAAAUACUGGCAGAAAAAUAAAACACAAGGGCAGCCCUGACUUAUUGCCUCUAUUAAACUGCUGACAUCUCCAAAAAGAUGUGUUAAGUAAUCCAAUUCACAAGGGGGUGGGAGGGGGAUAUUAACACGCUCCUUCUUGGCACUGUGCUGGGGUAUAAGAAAUGAAUCUCCUGCUUUGCUUGCAGUGAGAAAUGGAGGAGGGUAUGCUAAGGUCGGGAGUUUGUGUCCGCAAGGAAGAAGCUGGCCAACUGCUUGGAUUACCCAUGCUGCCCCGGGUCUGAGCCGAGGUCACCACACAGAGCUUUCAAGCACACUGUAACUAUUGCUGACUUUGCCGCCCAGCGCUGAGUCGUGGCUCCUCUGGGACUAGAUAAACUAGUCGAAUUUGUUGAAUGUGUCCUGGAUCAACCUGAUCGCACCACAAACCCGGAGAGAAGCAACCGUGGAGAUCUUUCCGUGGAGGGGCAGCUUCCGGUUCAUCCCAACCCACAAGAAACAGAAGUACCAGGAGUGCCCCAGUUCCACGGACCAUGAAUAGCUUCGGUUCCUCGCAAACUCUGGGUCCUACCACCCGCUCUGAGGACUUCUUAUUUUUUUAUUUCAUCAUCAUAAUGGAGACACUUUUUUCUCCCCCUGAGUUCUUCUGUUUUAACUUCCUGCUUGGGGGGUGGGGGGGGGGGAACGUUCUCAAUUUUUGCCAUUUCUCACUCCUACAGAAACAAUGCUAAGCCGCACACAGGGUCCUCAUUGAGCCAUCUGUCUACUGUGGCCUUGCCAUCCUGAGAGUGUCUGUCUUGUGUUCUUGGCCUAGUCUGGAAAGCAUCACGCGUCCCAAUAUGCAGAGGGGGUUCGAGCAAGCCAGCAGCUAAUUGCCCAGGUCUCUGAGAACUGACAUUAUGCAGGGCCCUCACCCUCCAGCUUCCUUCCCGGAUGAUUUUCUUUAUCUGCUCAAGGAAGAAAGGAUGGAUUCCAACUUCAAUAAUGAAAACCCUGCUCUUCUUUGCCAGCAUCCCAUCCCC